rnacentral:rRNA from 1 species
UCGAGCGGACAGAUGGGAGCUUGCUCCCUGAUGUUAGCGGCGGACGGGUGAGUAACACGUGGGUAACCUGCCUGUAAGACUGGGAUAACUCCGGGAAACCGGGGCUAAUACCGGAUGCUUGUUUGAACCGCAUGGUUCAAACAUAAAAGGUGGCUUCGGCUACCACUUACAGAUGGACCCGCGGCGCAUUAGCUAGUUGGUGAGGUAACGGCUCACCAAGGCAACGAUGCGUAGCCGACCUGAGAGGGUGAUCGGCCACACUGGGACUGAGACACGGCCCAGACUCCUACGGGAGGCAGCAGUAGGGAAUCUUCCGCAAUGGACGAAAGUCUGACGGAGCAACGCCGCGUGAGUGAUGAAGGUUUUCGGAUCGUAAAGCUCUGUUGUUAGGGAAGAACAAGUACCGUUCGAAUAGGGCGGUACCUUGACGGUACCUAACCAGAAAGCCACGGCUAACUACGUGCCAGCAGCCGCGGUAAUACGUAGGUGGCAAGCGUUGUCCGGAAUUAUUGGGCGUAAAGGGCUCGCAGGCGGUUUCUUAAGUCUGAUGUGAAAGCCCCCGGCUCAACCGGGGAGGGUCAUUGGAAACUGGGGAACUUGAGUGCAGAAGAGGAGAGUGGAAUUCCACGUGUAGCGGUGAAAUGCGUAGAGAUGUGGAGGAACACCAGUGGCGAAGGCGACUCUCUGGUCUGUAACUGACGCUGAGGAGCGAAAGCGUGGGGAGCGAACAGGAUUAGAUACCCUGGUAGUCCACGCCGUAAACGAUGAGUGCUAAGUGUUAGGGGGUUUCCGCCCCUUAGUGCUGCAGCUAACGCAUUAAGCACUCCGCCUGGGGAGUACGGUCGCAAGACUGAAACUCAAAGGAAUUGACGGGGGCCCGCACAAGCGGUGGAGCAUGUGGUUUAAUUCGAAGCAACGCGAAGAACCUUACCAGGUCUUGACAUCCCCUGACAAUCCUAGAAGAUAGGACGUCCCCCUUCGGGGGGCAGAGUGACAGGUGGUGCAUGGGUUGUCGUCAGCUCCGUGUCGUUGAGAUGUUGGGGUUAAGUCCCGCAACCGAGCGCAACCCUUUGAUCUUAGUUUGCCAGCAUUCAGUUGGGGCACUC